rnacentral:rRNA from 1 species
GCGGCCGCUCCGUUUGAUCCCGGCGGAGGUCACUGCUAUCGAGGUUCGACUAAGCCAUGCGAGUCGAAUGUAGCAAUACAUGGCGUACUGCUCAGUAACACGUGGACAACCUACCCUCAGGACAGGAAUAAACCCGGGAAACUGGGUAUAAUUCCCGAUAGAUCUCGGUUGCUGGAAAGCUCCGAGAUCGAAAGCUCCGGCGCCGGAGGAUGGGUCUGCGGCCUAUCAGGUAGUAGUGGGUGUAGCGUACCUACUAGCCUACGACGGGUACGGGUUGUGAGAGCAAGAGCCCGGAGAUGGAUUCUGAGACACGAAUCCAGGCCCUACGGGGUGCAGCAGGCGCGAAAACUUUACAAUGCCGGCAACGGCGGAUAAGGGAACCUCGAGUGCCAGGUUACAAAUCUGGCUGUCGUGAUGCCUAAAAAGCAUUGCAUAGCAAGGGCCGGGCARGACCGGUGCCAGCCGCCGCGGUAACACCGGCGGCUCGAGUGGUAACCGUUAUUAUUGGGUCUAAAGGGUCUGUAGCCGGCCGGAUAAGUCUCUUGGGAAAUCUGGCAGCUUAACUGUCAGGCUUUCAGGAGAUACUGUCUGGCUCGAGGCCGGGAGAGGUGAGAGGUACUUCAGGGGUAGGGGUGAAAUCUUUUAAUCCUUGAAGGGCCACCAAGUUGGCGAAGGCGUCUCACCAGAACGGACCUGACGGCAAGGGACGAAAGCUAGGGGCACGAACCGGAUUAGAUACCCGGGUAGUCCUAGCCGUAAACGAUACUCGCUAGGUGUCGGCCACGGUGCGACCGUGGUCGGUGCCGUAGGGAAGCCGUGAAGCGAGCCACCUGGGAAGUACGGCCGCAAGGCUGAAACUUAAAGGAAUUGGCGGGGGAGCACCACAACGGGUGGAGCUUGCGGUUUAAUUGGAUUCAACGCCGGAAAUCUUACCGGGACCGACAGCAAUAUGAAGGCCAGGCUGAAGACUUUGCCGGAUUAGCUGAGAGGUGGUGCAUGGCCGUCGUCAGUCCUUACUGUGAAGCAUCCUGUUAAGAAAGGCAACGAGCGAGACCC